UAGGGAAUCUUCCACAAUGGGCGAAAGCCUGAUGGAGCAACGCCGCGUGUGUGAUGAAGGCUUUCGGGUCGUAAAGCACUGUUGUAUGGGAAGAACAGCUAGAAUAGGAAAUGAUUUUAGUUUGACGGUACCAUACCAGAAGGGACGGCUAAAUACGUCCCAG
rnacentral:rRNA from 1 species